UGGGGAAUAUUGCACAAUGGGCGCAAGCCUGAUGCAGCAACGCCGCGUGAACGAUGAAGGUCUUCGGAUCGUAAAGUUCUGUUGCAGGGGAAGAUAAUGACGGUACCCUGUGAGGAAGCCCCGGCUAACUACGUGCCAGCAGCCGCGGUAAUACGUAGGGGGCUAGCGUUGUCCGGAAUUAUUGGGCGUAAAGCGCGCGCAGGUGGUUUAGAAAGUCUGAUGUGAAAGCCCACGGCUCAACCGUGGAGGGUCAUUGGAAACUAAUAAACUUGAGUGCAGGAGAGAAAAGUGGAAUUCCUAGUGUAGCGGUGAAAUGCGUAGAGAUUAGGAGGAACACCGGUGGCGAAAGCGGCUUUUUGGCCUGCAACUGACACUGAGGCGCGAAAGCGUGGGGAGCAAACAGG
rnacentral:rRNA from 1 species